ACUCAAAUGAAUUGACGGGGACCCGCACAAGCGGUGGAGCGCCUGGUUUAAUUCGAUGCUAAGCGAAGAACCUUACCAAGGCUUGAACUGUAACUGCACAACCUAUGAAAGUAGGAAUCCUUCGAGGGUGUUACAGAGGUGCUGCAUGGCUGUCGUCAGCUCGUGUCGUGAGAUGUUGGGUUAAGUCCCGCAACGAGCGCAACCCUUAUCUGCUGUUACAAUUUCUGCAGAGACUGCCUUGCCAAAACGAGGAGGAAGGUGGGGACGACGUCUAGUCAUCAUAGCCCUUACGUCUUGGGCUACACAGACGCUACAAUGGUUGGUACAACGGGUAGCCAAAGCGCGAGCUGGAGCCAAUCCUUUAAAACCAACCUCAGUUCAGAUUGCAGGCUGCAAUUCGCCUGCAUGAAGUCGGAAUCGCUAGUAAUCGCGGAUCAGCAUGCCGCGGUGAAUACGUUCUCGGGUCUUGUACACACCGCCCGU
rnacentral:rRNA from 1 species